GGCUGCUUCCACUAUGGACUGGACACCACUCCUCCUCCUGUUCCUCUCUCACUGCUCAGUUUCCUUCUCUCAGGCUGUGGUGACUCAGGAACCUUCCUUGUCUGAAUCUCCUGGAGCAUCUGCCAGACUUUCCUGCACCUUGAGAAGUGGUAUCAGUGUUGGUGGUACAUGGAUAAACUGGUACCAGCAGAAGCCAGGGAGCCGUCCCAGGUAUCUACUAAGCUACUACUCAGAUUCAAAUAAGGUACAGGGCUCUGGCAUCCCCAGCCGCUUCUCUGGUUCCAAGGACAACUCAGCCAACGCAGGAGUUUUGCAUAUUUCUGGGCUGCAGCCUGAAGAUGAAGCUGACUAUUACUGUAACAUCUGGCACAACAGUGGUUUUCACAGUGACCCUCAUGCAUGGAGAAGUAGCACAACAACCUCAGGCUUCCCUAGCCAGGGGAAAAGCCCUCGGUUUGUGCUGCGAGUGGGUACCAGUGGUAUUGUGGGAUCCAAGGGCGAUGGAAUCCCUGAUCGAUUCUCAGGAUCAGGCUCUGGUUUGGAUCGGUACCUGACCAUCCAGAACAUCCAGGAAGAAGACGAAACGGUCUACUACUGUGGGGUAGACCAUGGCAGUGGGAGUAGCUUCGUGUAA